AGGUGCGAUCAUACCAGCACUAAUACACCAGAUCCCAUCAGAACUACCCAGUUAAGCAUGCUUGGGCGAGAGUAGUACUAGGAUCGGUGACCUUCGGGGAAGUGCUCGUGUUGCACCUC
rnacentral:rRNA from 2 species